UGGAAUUGUUUUCUUUACCCACAAAGCCUUAACUUGCCUCUAGAAAAUCCCCUGGUAUGACAACAUUGUGGCCUAAGAAUUCAAACUCUUCUCCUAUGAAAGUCUGAAGCAAAGCCACAGCCAAACCAGAGAAUUUCCUCAGGUGGCCUGGAGGCUCCUAUGACAUCACCCCCACCUCUCACCCCAACAACAUGAGUGAUCUGGAUCUAAGCCCCUCCACCCACCCGUCGUCUUGGCCUUACUCUCUUUCAAAGCCACAUUAGAUCACUCAAAUGCUUCCAAAAGGGGCCUGCUUGGCAUUUAGAGACCAAGCCAUUGAGGGCCAAGUUUCUUCCACCUGUUAGCUAAGCAAAGGACAGUUGUCCCCUCUGCCUGGGGUCAAUUUUCCCAAACUAUGUUUAUAGCUAAGGACACAGGAGCAGGCCCCUGCUGGCUAAGGAACCCCAACAGCAUCCAGAGCAAAGGCUGCUCUGCUGGCCUUGCUGCCUCCAGGUGCUACAGCCCAGCAUCCUCCUGAAGUGGUCCUUAGCAACAGGCUACAGAGUACAGCUUGCCAACUAUCCCCAGACACCCAGAACACAGACAGCUGUCUCCUUUGGAAGAGUCUGUCUGCCAUGUUUUCCAGCUGUUUUUUUCCUAGCGUAUACAUAGGUAGAGCUUUCACCAAUGCCUAAUAAAGAAGCUGAAAUCAAUUUCUAAUUGGUAGAUUAAGACUGACAUGGCGAGGUUCAGAAAAUUCACAACUUUUUACUAGACUCCUGUCAAUUAGGAAAUCUAUAACUGGUCCCCAUUAGCCAAGUAAUCUUCUGUUGCCAUAAAUUGGGGACAGUCCAUUUCUAGCGCCUAUAGGAUCACCCUUAGUCUCGGUGGGCAUUCUGCCCCCCAGACCACAGACACAGAGCAGUCAACAUCACCUGAAAUCAUUGCUGACCUCCUCGGUCCCCAGGGCCAACCGCCACUCUCCCAGGCUGCUCUCCUGAGGGAACCUGGUUCCUGGUGAUAGGAGCUGGGCUCGCUUUGGUCUUCAUUCUGGCCUCUUUAGUUUUCCUAAAGCACAAAUCCAUGUAGUGCCCUGUUACCUCUCCACACCCAUUCCAGGUGACCUGGCUCUCUCCCGCAGCCUCAGGCAGACCUUCACUAUACCUGAGUUUGCAACUUUUCCCCCACUGCCGCUGCCUUAUUGACCAGGGCUGGGGUGGGGGAGGGGCCAGCUCACCUCCCUCCUUUUCCCAGGUAGACUCCAACCGACCACUGUCUUACGUUGGCAGAUUCUGCUUCCAGAUUGAUUUUUUUUUUUUUUUUUUUUUUUUUUUUUGAGAACCAUCACUUUCACAUUCCUGAUUCUGAUGAGUUUUGUUUUGUUCUCUCUGGGUUUCACGGAACUCCAGAGGCUGCCCUGGAAAUACUGUAUUUUGGAGUUUGUGCUCUAAAAGCCCCUGUGCUGCUGGGUCUUCUGACUCUUCCAGCAGCAGGUGUUUCGGACUUGCAAUGAGCAAUGCAAUUUUUUCUAAAUAUGAGGAUAUUUACCUUUAUUAAGAAAUUAUACUAAACAAUGGCGUCCUUGAUUGUUUUCUGUUCUCAACGUUACUUUUGGAAUCUGUGGUGGUAAACAAAGAUCAUUACAAACAAAAACUGUAAUUUUGUUAUCUUUGAUUCAACGGAAUUUCUUUACUUAAAAAAUUAAAGACAAAAAAA
rnacentral:lncRNA from 1 species